UCUAGUUAUUAUAGCAAAGAGGAUACACCUGUUCCCAUUCCGAACACAGAAGUUAAGCUCUUUAGCGCCGAUGGUACUUGGUGGGAAGCUGCCUGGGAGAGUAGGACGUAGCUAGGUU
rnacentral:rRNA from 1 species